rnacentral:rRNA from 1 species
UACGUAGGGUGCGAGCGUUAAUCGGAAUUACUGGGCGUAAAGGGUGCGCAGGCGGCUCCGCAUGUCGGGGGUGAAAUCCCCGGGCUUAACCUGGGAAUUGCGUCCGAAACUAUGGAGCUGGAGUGUGGCAGAGGGAGGUGGAAUUCCACGUGUAGCGGUGAAAUGCGUAGAGAUGUGGAGGAAUACCGAUGGCGAAGGCAAUCCCCUGGGCCUGCACUGACGCUCAUGCACGAAAGCGUGGGGAGCAAACAGG